GAUCCAAGACUGUGGAGACGCUAAUGAUCUGUGACUGAGGAGAGGCCUUGGGGGCAGGAGGGCCGAGUGCCAAGAUUGCUGAGAAGCGCAGUUUGCGCGUCGUGGGAUCCUUGGAGUGGGCGGGGAACCUCAGAAGUUCCAGCCGCCGGCCCCUCCUCCGGAAGCACUCGUUGUUCAACGGAUGUUGGGUGCCAUCAUAGGAAUGGGCAAAACGGGAAACAGAGAAAGUGCGCGCACAGGGGCGCGAGGAUAUGACAACAAAAGGCAAAGGGCGAGGUCCAACGGCCCAUCCCCGGCUGAACUCUCUGAGCUUUGGGCCUUUCCUGACCAAGUUACAGGCGCUUACUACCAAACGGGCCCCUCCAGUAGUUCAGAGCUCCCGACACUACCUCCUGGCUGGUCGUCUCCAGCCCCUCUCCAUGCCGUGGUGCCAGGGAAAGGUAUGAACCAGCAGCAUUACCAUCUGGGCACUGAAGCUUUCCGAGGUGAAACCUGGGACGCUGCUUUCCACAAUAUCUUUUCCUGCUUGAUGAUGUGAUGGAUUGUAUUACUUAAUUUUCAUCUUGCUGCUGGACUGGUUGUUGCCAUCUCUCCCGUCACGACCUCUGCUGCCACUUCCUGUGCUCUGUCGCCUGCUCCAUGGUCCAGUCUACCCACUUUUGGGUGCACAGAUGGAUGGAUCGCUCAGGUGUCCUGUGGAACUUUGCGAGGCCAGUGUGUUGACUUCUGACCAGUCUCAUCUGAAACCACAUCCUUUUGCACAUACAUAAGCACUCUGAGGUAUUGGGCCUCCAGCUUACUCUAGGAGGACAGAGGCCAGAUUAAGUUUGUUUGACAUAACUGGAAGGGGCUGAGCCUCUUCCCAGAAGAGCAAAGUCCAUUCAUGGUAACUACUAUCAACUACGUUUUCUAGAUAGCAUUUGCUUCUAGUUGCAGAGACAUUGUUUCUUUCAGCAGAAGAAAAUGUGUGGAUUGGUGAUCCAAUACUUCUAUCUCCAAAGAAACGUGGAUGGGUGAUAAAAGUGCCCCGAGGUGAGAUUGCUGAUUGCCGUGGCCAUUUCAGAGCUUCGUUUGCUCUGAAAGAUACCAGGAAAGUUACUCACGUUUGUGUUUUUAGUAGUAUUCCUAAAUACUACUGUGUAUAUAGUAUUAUACAGUAUACUGUGUAUAUAGCCUCCACAUUAGAGGGAGUGUUCUGGGUGGGGCCCAGGUAUUCUGAGUGACGGUAAGAAUAGACAUAGCUUCCUAAAAGUGUAUGGUGUUGUUCCAUUAGAUUGUGGUCUGACCAUGAGCACCCAGCCAGUCUGAAUUGUGGCGGGAACAUAAAUAUCUAGAAGCAUAGGUAUGGUGCUACCUUUUCCCAUCAUAUAACCUGUGCUCUGAACUAUGUGCCCCAAGUACUCUUGACGGUUGCCCUUCCAAUCACAGAUAUGAUGCUGGCCCAUCAGACAGCAAAAGAUGUGCUGUGUCCAGAUGGGCACGAGGUGUCUGGUGGAAGGCAGGGACAGCAAUGUCUUCUGGCAUGUGUUUCUUCUCAGUGGUGCAGACUUCUCCUGGAGUAACAGAUUUGCUCUUGGCUGGGUGGGCCCAAGUAUUCAGAUCAGAUGCAGAAAGAGAAGAUGCUAAACACUGGGAUGGUGUUGGCCCUUCCUGUUGCAAAAUACAUGCUCUGUCCAGGUGGGACACAGGAGUUCUCACUGUAGGUAGGGACAUAAAGACCUCUAAGCAUAGGUGAAGUGCUCACCCUUUUGAUGGCUAUAGACUAUAGGCACAAAAAGAAGUGUCUCCAGCACAGUUAUGGUUCUAUAUCCUUAUCUGCAACAGAUGUACCCUGGCUGGAUGGGUCCCAGGCAAUCUGAACACAUGGAAGGACAGAAGUGUCUUCUGGCACAUGUUCCUUCUCAGUGAUGCUCUCAUCCUGUGGUAGCAGGUGGCUGGGCUGACUCUAGGUGUUCUUAUUAUAGGCAGGAAGGAAAGUAUCUCCCAAGACAGAUUUGCUCUCAGUAGCGCUGGCUUCUCCAAUUGUAACAGGAGUAUAGUAGGCUGACAGGACCCUGGUGCUCAGGUCUAGGCCUUCUUCCCCCAAAUUAGCUGUGGUUCUGGGUGUCCCACUUGGCCUUGCUCCAAAGCUGAGUGUUUCAGACAUGGAACUGGGGCCUGGACAUACACAAUGACCCCAAAGCUGCCACUACCCACAGGUGCUGAAAAUCCCUUAAAUGCAAAUGGUUCUCAAGGGAUGUUGGCAAAAAGUGAGCCGCAGUCCUCAAUACUGUGCAUUCUGGUGGCAGUUCCAGAGCAAGAAAGAGUGAAAUGAGGUGAAGUGCCACCAAAGGCUGGUUUGUUGUCCACAGGGAUGUCAGAGUUAGAACAUGGGAUGUCAAACUCCCUAAAGCUGAGUUGUGCUACUUUGGGGUUCCAGGGAUGCAGUAGACACUAAGUGGGAGGAUUAACUGGGGCAGCCGGGUUUCCCAAAGGGACAGAGCUCUUAAAGCUGUCAAGAGGAGGCAAGAAGAUAAUAGACUGGGAGUUGGUUAUGGUAGCCACAUCAAUUUCAUCAGAGUCAAAGACAGGCUUGGAUGCCAUGUCCGAAGAGGUGCUGGUUAUUGGAUUGAGGUGACUGCAGAAUCAGUGGUAGGUGAGCCAGAAAAGACAAGGGACACUGGGGAGAGUGACUUAUUCUGCUGCCCAUAUAGAUCCCCAGCUGAACGAUGGCUCCUGCCCCAAAGGGAAGUUUGAAAAUUCAGGUAGGGCUGCGGACCAUAAAAGCAGGUGGGCAAGUGGUGACUGACCUUUGCAGGGCAUAUCUGCUCUGUACUGGGAUAGACCUGGUAAAAUGCCAGGGAGCUCACACAGAGGAAGUGAUUGCAGAAGCAGUGAUGGACUGGUUGACGAAGUCUGGGAUGCUCAUGAAAGGGAUUUGAAGAGAAGUCUGUAAAAAAAGAGGGAGGAGAAUCCACCCACCUAGGUGAAGGUGAUUCAGUUCUACAGAAGGUAGGCUUUGAGGAGAGGAGGGAGGUGUCAGGAGGCAUGGUGAGAGCAGAAGAUCCUGCGAAACUAUGACUGAGGGGCUAGAUUGCUGAGAGCAUCUGUUCCUUCUCGUUAGUACCUGGAACCCCACAUAUGGGUUGGAAUCUGGAGUGAGGGACAGCAGCAAUAGCAAAAGAAGGAGAGUUUGAAAUUGUGCAUCUCAUUUCAUGACUGAUAUCUGGUGUGGGGGCUUAGUGACAGGUCAGUCAAAUCAGUGGCUGCUAAUGGGGUGGUCUCUGGAAUCUGCAAGGGGAGAGUGGCCAGUGGCAAUGGAACUACAGUCCCUGGCAACUAACAGCGCAAGGGAACAGGCAGGUUGAGUGGCAGGCUAUCAGCGGUGGCCUCAGUUUUAUCCUAUGGUUUUGGUGGUGCUGUGUUCUUCUCCAAGCCCAGGUCUUCAGCAAUGACCGUACGCUGGAAGGUGGGACACAGGGCCUCUCGCUCGAUCCCACGACAGCGGUAGUAGCCGCAAUGGUGGCAGCAGUAGUGGCAUUGCUGUGCUCUGUUUACAGAGCCCACAACUGACAGAUGUGGGUUGAGAAUUUCUCCUUGACACUGUAUCUGAAAGCCUUCCUCUCUGAGUCUACUUCUUUGACUUCAGUAAAGCUGAAGAACUGAGUCAGUGCUCUUCAUCAAGCUUUCUCAACCACUCUGGCCAUAGGAAGCAGACUGUGGCUGGGCCAGACAGGCCAGCUGCACUUGGAUCACUCUUGCAAAGAGGCCAGAAGCCUCCAGUGGGGCUGUGUGGUAGGGCCUUUGGGAAAUGAGCUCGUAAAGAUGCCGGUGAUAUCUUACCUAAGCUCUCUUCUUGAAAUAGAGGUUUCCCUUCAGAGGCUCAGGACUGCUCCCAAAUACAUGACAACUUGUCACCAGGAGCCGAGGUGCUGGUGGUAUACUUUUAUUGCUGUAAGGACCCCUUUUCUGAAAGUCCUGUGUUUUGGACACUUUUUGAUUCCUUCCUCCUUAGAUAUUCCCUUCUUUCACAUUCCCAGUGUCUUCAGCUCAGUCUCCUCUAAGUCAGGCUUUGGAGGGUGAUUGGAUAGCCCAGAAGGAGAGUCAGUUUGUACCCCUGAGGGAAAAUAUUGACCAUUUCUCAGUGGCUAGACUUUUUGAGAUACAAGCAGACACCAGAGGCUUCUUCAGAGAGCCCCCUCCCACCCAAUUCAGGACCCUCAGAGAGGAGCACUGAGGCUGUCUCAUCUGAUACUGCCUCUUAAGUAACAUGGAGGGGCAGAGGCACUGGAUUCACAUAGAACUGCCUAAGAAAAGGGCCAGGAGAGAGACAGGACAGUGGGAUUCCCUCAGCCAGAAAGGAAACACAGGUGUAACCAGGGGUAGGGAAGGGGCCGGAGUAAAGCUUGCUGAGCAGGUUGCCCACAAGGGGCAGUUCGUGCACUGUCUGAUCCUGGGAGCAUAGAGUUCACGACUUGGGAGAGUUCUUUUAGCGACCUGCUCCUCCAACGUAAAGCAUGCACUGUUCGAUCUGAUGCUUUAGACACAGGAACAUGUGAGAGAGAAAGAGCACCAGCUGGGCACACACCAGCAAAUGGCAUAAGGAAAAAGUGCCAAAGGCAAAGGAUGAGGCCCAGAGGCCAAACCCCAGCAGGACCUUCUAGAGCUUUCUGACUUUCUGCUGCUGGUUACAAGUGUUUGGUUUGACAAGGUUGUUCAGUACUAUAACUUCCAAGAGCCUGCAUACCUGUCAUCCCCAGGUAUGUGUCCCCACGUCUGUGCGCACUUCAGUGCCUGACUCGAGGGCAGCAGAGGCUGCCUGUGCCUGAAGGUCCACCAGACCUUUCUCUGUCAUCACUAGUGGGCAGAGUCUGCUCAAAGCCAGAGCAGGAGAGGAGCCUAGAUCCUACCAGUGUGGGGGCCUUGUCUGUGGAAGGCUGGGGCAGAGAGACUGAAGUUGGGAAGAUGGGGGUGGGGGAGGGGUGGGAGCGGGGUGGGAGGGCGGGAUGCUCAGCCCUAGCCUUGUCUCAUGUGGUUACUGUGAAUCCAGACAUCGUGGGACGGCUACAGCAGGGCACAUGCUGAGACAUGUGGGGGGGGGGGGCGGGGGGUGAUGAAUUUACCCCAGCCUCUUCCUUUCGGAUGCCCCCAGUUAACUCCUGCAACCCCGCCUGCCCCCUCUGUGAUGGUAGGUCAAGGCUCCGAAUACUGCCUCCUCCAGAGGCCACUCCAGCUCCACUCCAGCUCCUGGAGUCAGGUGUGCCUUUUCUGUGGCCACCCUGGAGAGGCAAGAUCCAUGCGCCUCACCAGCUGGACUGUGAAGGUUUCUCACGCAGAGAUGUGGCUGUUGCACAACACAUUCUCUCCUGGCAGGCAGUUUCUCUUAGUUUUACAAAUUUGGUAAAACAGCAUUUAAGCCUUAGGCUGUUUCGCAAGUCACACGGUAGUUAGUAGCUCAGCUAGAAUUUGAGCUCAGGCUGAUUCCAGAGCUCACAAACUUAACCACCAGCCUAUGGUACCUCCUCUGCAGGAACGCAUCAUAUAUUUCCAUUUUUGAUACUUAAUGUACGGUUUCCCUGUAAUGAACACUGUCACUGCCUAUGACAAAGUCUUCUUGGGCUCACCUCAUAUGUCAGCCAUUGGCCACAAUGAGCUCCAGUCUCUCAGGAGAUGUAGGAUAGUUACUGUCAGUUGGCGACACAUCCGCAUGAUGCAGUUGUCUUUUAUAUGAGCCUGGCAGCAAACUCCACAACUGUGAGAGAUCUUCUCCCAUGUGCAUGGACCCCGGGCACACCAAGUGGGUGGUGGAUCCAUCCUGGCCACCUACAAGCCUUCAUGCCCCGAGGGAACCAGUCACUGUUAUAAUUUAUGAUUCCAUACACUAGCUUUCAGUGUAUGAUGAACUGAGAUGAACAACUUAACUAGCUUUUCUAGUCCACAAGAGUAUGGUAUAACUUUCCCUAUUCUUAGGUCUUUUAAAAUACUUAUUUUGCUGCACAGGGUCUUAGUUGUGGCAUGUGGGACCUUAAUUCCCCAACCCGGGAUGGAAACCAGGCCCCCUGCAUUGGGAGCAUGGAAUCUUAGCCACUGGACCACCAGGGAAGUCUCUCCCUAUAUUUAGGUCUUUUGAAAAAAAUUUCUCUCAUAAUAUUUUGUAGCAGGGUUCCAUAAAUUCCAGCUUGUUGGUCAAAUUUGAUCCACAGCAUGUUUUGUUGUCCCAAUGAGCUUAAAAUGGUAUUAACAUUUUAAAAACAUUGUGAAAACAAAGUAAAACAGAGGAAUAUGCAACAGAGACCAUACAUAAACUGCAAAGCCUAUAAUAAUUCCUGUUUGGUCCUUUAGAGCAAAAAUUUGCUAACCCCUGUUUUGUAUUAAUAGUUUUGGGUGCCUAGGUCUUGUACAGUGUUUGCUAAUUUGUACUUUAGUUAUUUAUGAGGGCUUAAAAAUGCUAUUGUAAAUGGUAUCUUUUAAGUUUUAGCUUUCAGUUGUUUACUGGUAGCAUAGAGAAUAUAGAAUUGGUUUAUAUAUUGAUUUUUGUAGGCUGGAAACUUGUUAAAAUCACUCUGUACUUCUGGUAGUAUCUUUGUAGAUUUCUCAUGAUUUUCUACAUACACAUUCAUGACUUCUGUGAAUAAAGAGAGUUUUUAAAAUCUUU